rnacentral:rRNA from 1 species
AGCUAGCACAGGUGCUGCAUGGCUGUCGUCAGCUCGUGUCGUGAGAUGUUCGGUUAAGUCCGCUAACGAGCCGCAACCCUUGCUGUGUGUUACAUGUGUCACACGGGACUGCCGGUCUUAAACCGGGAGGAAGGUGGGAUGACGUCAAGUCAGCAUGGCCUUUAUGUCCUGGGCUACACACACGCUACAAUGGCCGGUACAAUAGGUUGCGAAGCCGCGAGGCGGAGCCAAUCCUCAAAGCCGGCCUCAGUUCAGAUUGCAGGCUGCAACCCGCCUGCAUGAAGAUGGAGUUGCUAGUAACCGCAGGUCAGCUAUACUGCGGUGAAUACGUUCCCGGGGCUU